UACGAGUUGUGCGAACGUUAUCCGGAUUCACUGGGUUUAAAGGGUGCGUAGGCGGGCAGGUAAGUCAGCGGUGAAAUCCCCGAGCUUAACUUGGGAACUGCCAUUGAUACUAUCUGUCUUGAAUACUUUGGAGGUAAGCGGAAUAUGUCAUGUAGCGGUGAAAUGCUUAGAUAUGACAUAGAACACCAAUUGCGAAGGCAGCUUGCUACACAGUUAUUGACGCUGAGGCACGAAAGCGUGGGGAUCAAACAGG
rnacentral:rRNA from 1 species